AUACGUAGGGGGCGAGCGUUGUCCGGAAUGAUUGGGCGUAAAGGGCGCGUAGGCGGCCCGGUAAGUCUGGAGUGAAAGUCCUGUUUUUAAGAUGGGAAUUGCUUUGGAUACUGUCGGGCUUGAGUGCAGGAGAGGUAAGUGGAAUUCCCAGUGAAGCGGGGAAAUGCGUAGAGAUUGGGAGGAACACCAGUGGCGAAGGCGACUUACUGGACUGUAACUGACGCUGAGGCGCGAAAGUGUGGGGAGCAAACAGGAUUAGAUACCCUGGUAGUCCACACUGUAAACGAUGAAUGCUAGGUGUAGGGGGUAUCGACCCCUUCUGUGCCGCAGUCAACACAAUAAGCAUUCCGCCUGGGGAGUACGGCCGCAAGGUUGAAACUCAAAUGAAUUGACGGGG
rnacentral:rRNA from 1 species